rnacentral:rRNA from 1 species
GACGAACGCUGGCGGCGUGCUUAACACAUGCAGGUCGAACGGAAAGGCCCUGCUUUUGUGGGGUGCUCGAGUGGCGAACGGGUGAGUAACACGUGAGUAACCUGCCCUUGACUUUGGGAUAACUUCAGGAAACUGGGGCUAAUACCGGAUAGGAGCUCCUGCUGCAUGGUGGGGGUUGGAAAGUUUCGGCGGUUGGGGAUGGACUCGCGGCUUAUCAGCUUGUUGGUGGGGUAGUGGCUUACCAAGGCUUUGACGGGUAGCCGGCCUGAGAGGGUGACCGGUCACAUUGGGACUGAGAUACGGCCCAGACUCCUACGGGAGGCAGCAGUGGGGAAUAUUGCACAAUGGGCGGAAGCCUGAUGCAGCAACGCCGCGUGCGGGAUGACGGCCUUCGGGUUGUAAACCGCUUUCGCCUGUGACGAAGCGUGAGUGACGGUAAUGGGUAAAGAAGCACCGGCUAACUACGUG